UACGUAGGGUGCAAGCGUUAUCCGGAAUUAUUGGGCGUAAAGAGCUCGUAGGCGGUUUGUCGCGUCUGCUGUGAAAACUGGAGGCUCAACCUCCAGCCUGCAGUGGGUACGGGCAGACUAGAGUGCGGUAGGGGAGAUUGGAAUUCCUGGUGUAGCGGUGAAAUGCGCAGAUAUCAGGAGGAACACCGAUGGCGAAGGCAGGUCUCUGGGCUGUAACUGACGCUGAGGAGCGAAAGCAUGGGGAGCGAACAGG
rnacentral:rRNA from 1 species